AAAGCAGUGGUUGUGCCAAGAGUGCAAUCGUUGGCAAGUUGUAAAAGAUUCUGGAUCAGCACCGCAGUUUAAUGGGCCACCUGCCUCUAAGCCAAAAGAGAUUAGAUCACAGUGUUGGAGCCAUACAAGAAUGGAUUACAGAAUGUCCCCAGCUUCAAGAAGCUGACAGCAAGGACUACAGUAUGCAAUGGAGGAAUCUAUUCACGACGUUAAGUUUUAUCAACAAGGUAAAAUGCGAAUUGAAAUGCCAAGUCAUUCCAGUCUAUUUGUGUGGAGACCACAGAUGGCAAGUCUAUCACUCAACAUGGCUCCUUUACUGCUGGAUGCCUUUAACAAACCUGUCUGCAAACCACCAAGAGGAGGAUACAUCUCUCUGUAGUGCUGUUAACAUCCCAAUGCCCCUGUCUACUGACAUCAGAAUGCCAGCUCUUCAGAGUGAACCAAACUUCACAAUUGAGCAUGCCAAGCAAAUACAAAACCACACCACUAACCAAGCAGCCUCAGAACGUUGGCACACAAAACGAGUCUAAAGGAUAACUGCCUCAAUUUGUAACAAAAAAAGUAAUAAAAAAGAAAAAGUUACAGAAUCUUUCAUUGAUUCAGUUACAAGUCUAAACCCUUCUCUAAAUCUUCAUCUGUUCAGAGUCAGUUUGGUAACAACAAGGAACAUUUUGCCAAAGAAAAGUACCAAAGAAAGUUUCCAGGGAGACAUAUACACAAAUGUGGCCUACUCCUUCAGCCCAGUCUACUCCUUCAGCCCAGUCUCCCCUUCAGCCCAGUCUACUCCUUCAGCCCAGUCUCCCCUUCAGCCCAGUCUACUCCUUCAGCCCAGUCUCCCCUUCAGCCCAGUCUACUCCUUCAGCCCAGUCUACUCCUUCAGCCCAGAGUACUCCUUCAGCCCAGAGUACUCCUUCAGCCCAGUCUCCCCUUCAGCCCAGUCUCCCCUUUCUUGGAGCCACACCGGAUGGCAUAGUGGACUGCUUGAGAUAAAAUGUCCAUACAGUGCUAGUGCAUGACUGAUGGCGGCAGUAUCCACUAUUAACAAUUUACAUCUGACUAAAGGAGAGAAGAAGCAAUCUAUGUAUCUGAAACUUACAAAUAGAAGGUCAAUUACUUAUGUCUGGCCUCUAAAAGACUUGUUUGUGACCAGCGUACAGAAGAACAACUACUUCAUUAAUCAAAUAAUUGUGCAGCUCUGUCAAUUUUAUAACAGAAAUGGUGACGUACCUUCACCUGGAUGUCUCGUAUGUUUCCUUUAGACUUGUAACUUUAGAUUAUUCAUUUUAUACCUGUUGAAUAUGUUACUGUAUAAGUAUCUUGUACCUGACGAAAUAAAUUGUUAAACUCUGA